UAGCUCAGUGGUAGAGCGCUUGCCUUGCAUGCAUGAGGCUCUGGGAUCAAUUCCUAG
rnacentral:tRNA from 1 species